CGUAGUGUUUCGGUGAGCGAAUCCAUGUAUGACGUGCAAUAGCGCGUCGGGUGAGUUCGAUUCUCACACACUCCCGCCA
rnacentral:tRNA from 1 species